GACAGCAGCCAUAUCACCCUGCAAAUCACAACUGGCAGCCCCAGUGAAGCCAAGCAGGUGUGAGCCUGGCCAGUACCUGGAUGGGAGACCUCCUGGGAAAAACUUAAGGUUGCUGCUGGAA
rnacentral:rRNA from 1 species